AAGGACAUUCCUGGACUGACAGAU
rnacentral:piRNA from 1 species